rnacentral:lncRNA from 1 species
GUUGAAUCAACUUAAAUCAUUGUUUUAUACAAUAUACAAUGUAUAUUCACUUUUACUACCAACUGAUAAAUUAAAACAAUCUUUACCAUUCAGUGAUAACAAGCACUUUUUUUACAUUUUAAUAUUUUAUGAUGUAUUUAAAUGAGUAAUUAUUGUUGCAAACUCCAUUAGAAAUUUGAAUUGAGAUCGGUUAUGGAAUAAAGGAAAAGGGGAUGUGAAAAAAAAAUUGAGGGGGGGGGGUUAAAUUUUUCUCAUUUGAAAUUUCAUAAAUAAAAAGAAAAUUUCUUCAAACAUUUUUUUGAGAGGAUUAAUAUUCAACAGCAUAGUGAACUUCUGUGGUGUAAGUAUGAUGCGUUAAUAAAAUCACAUUUGGUGGUGAAUGAGUAGUAUAAACGGCCGCGAAGGUUACAAAUAUGAUGUUAAUUGUCUUCUAAUUGUUGAAAUUAUAAUUCUUAAAAUUUUAAAUCAAAAGUUACCCACAUCUAAAAAUAAAGUUACGGACAGUCUGCUUAGUUUCGAUCAAAAAGUUACGGACAUCUUAUGCAUUUUUUAAAGUUGACCUUGCGCUUUAGUGAACUCUAUAUUAACAAAUUUUUGGUAAUUGUUAGACAUUUCUUUAUUCAAUAAUCCUAUAAAUAUUUACAUUCUGCAUGAAAAACGUCGCAAAAGGUACAUUUUGUAUGAAUUAAAUAUUAACGAGUUUAGAGUCCGCCAUCUUGGGCUGUGGGUAACUUAAGUACCCACAGCCGUUUAAGCACAGUGGAAUUGCUCAAAGGCAAAACAAAAAUUUUAAGUUUAUUAGACCACAUUCAUUCUGUGUCAGAAACCUAUGCUGUGUCAACUAUUUAAUCACAAUCCAAAUUUAGAGCUGAAUCCAGCUUGAAUGUUGUGUCCGUACUUGCCCCAACUGUUCAGGGUUCAACCUCUGCGGUCGUAUAAAGCUGCGCCCUGCGGAGC